rnacentral:lncRNA from 1 species
AUGUCACUAGAAUUUGCUGAAGGUAGCUGCACAGCCCAUAGUAGCUUUAUAGCCUCAAAAUUGAGUUUGUUAAGUUUAAUCCCUACAGAGUUCUCUUUUUCCCCCUCAAAAGUAUACCAGCAUUUGGACACUCUUAACCACAUGCAUUGCAGUUCUUGGCUAUUUGACGUUUGGAAAAUAAGGAUUGUCCAAUCGCAAGUGACAAUUAUAAGCUGCUCACACAAUUUCCAAGAGAUAUAG